GACGAACGCUGGCGGCGUGCUUAACACAUGCAAGUCGAACGGAAAGGCCCUGCUUUUGUGGGGUGCUCGAGUGGCGAACGGGUGAGUAACACGUGAGUAACCUGCCCUUGACUUUGGGAUAACUUCAGGAAACUGGGGCUAAUACCGGAUAGGAGCUCCUGCUGCAUGGUGGGGGUUGGAAAGUUUCGGCGGUUGGGGAUGGACUCGCGGCUUAUCAGCUUGUUGGUGGGGUAGUGGCUUACCAAGGCUUUGACGGGUAGCCGGCCUGAGAGGGUGACCGGCAAAAGGGGGAGGGAGAUCAGGCAGAGCAGCAGAGGGGAGGCAGCAGGGGGGAAGAGGGCAGAAGGGGGGGAAGCCUGAUGAAGAAAAGACGAGGGCGGGAGGAAGGGAGUGGGGUGGGAAACCGUGGUGGAAUGUGACGAAGCGGGAGUGAAGGUAAGGGGGAAAGAAGAACAGGAUAAAUAAGUG
rnacentral:rRNA from 1 species